UUGGAGGGCAAGUCUGGUGCCAGCAGCCGCGGUAAUUCCAGCUCCAAUAGCGUAUAUUAAAGUUGUUGCAGUUAAAAAGCUCGUAGUUGAACUCCAGACCUGACCGGGCGGUCCGCCUAACGGUGUGUACUGUCUGGCCGGGCCUUACCUCUUGGUGAGCCGGCAUGCCCUUCACUGGGUGUGUCGGGGAACCAGGACCUUUACCUUGAGAAAAUUAGAGUGUUCAAAGCAGGCUUACGCCGGAAUACAUUAGCAUGGAAUAAUAAAAUAGGACGUGUCGG
rnacentral:rRNA from 1 species